rnacentral:siRNA from 1 species
GAAGAUGCUGCUUCCAAGAUCAAA